rnacentral:tRNA from 11 species
GCCCGAGUGAUGGAAUUGGUAGACGUAGCGGACUCAAAAUCCGCCGCCGCAAGGCGUGCCGGUUCAAGUCCGGCCUCGGGCACCA